rnacentral:piRNA from 1 species
UAAGCGGAAAGUGUGAAAAUC